rnacentral:rRNA from 1 species
UACGUAGGGGGCGAGCGUUGUCCGGAAUCAUUGGGCGUAAAGCGCGUGUAGGCGGCCAGGUAAGUCCGUUCUGAAAGCCCGGGGCUCAACCCCGGGAGGCGGAUGGAUACUGCUUGGCUCGAGUCCGGAAGAGGCGAGUGGAAUUCCCGGUGUAGCGGUGAAAUGCGCAGAUAUCGGGAGGAACACCAAUGGCGAAGGCGGCGACCUGGGCCAAUACUGACGCUGAGGUGCGAAAGCGUGGGGAGCAAACAGG